CGCCACCACAGCACGUCCCUAUUUUUUUUCCUUUUGAUUGAAUAUCAUGGUACGUACAGCUGGAAACAACCAGCUUUCUGUCCUUCGCUUUGCUUCCUCCAGACGGUUUACAGGAAAUUACCCAAGCUUACCGUAAACAACCGCCUCCGCUGAGCUAAACGAGGCGGCUGUUAAUGUUAACGCGGCAUGAAACAGCGCCCCCAGAGGCGAAGCACUGCACUGCCUCAUUUUAACAGGAAAUGCAUAAACUCAGCCAUUUUGACCAUAGAAAUGUUGAUAUUACCAAUAAACAAACACAUUCAUAGAAAUUGAUUUUCCAUUCAAUGCAGUUUAUUUCUAUAGCACCAAUUCACAACACAUCAUACUGAUGCUCUUUCCAAAAGGAAUGGCUUCACUUCAAUCGUCCAGUCUUUCCAGUUCAUCCCAGUUAUCAGUCAGAGAAUCAAGUUCAGUUCAUUCAAAUUAGCUGGAAAAGUUUCUGGGGAAACCCAGCAGACUGCACUUUGCAGCAGUACCUCAGGCUGAGCAUGCAUGUGGCGACAGCGGAGAGCAACAACUCCCCUUAACAAGAAGAAACCUCCAGCAGAACCAGAACCAGAA